CGGAGUGUAGCUCAGUCUGGUAGAGCACCGGUUUUGGGAACCGGGGGUCCAAAGUUCGAAUCUUUGUACUCCGACCA
rnacentral:tRNA from 3 species